CAAUCGGUUCUUUUCAGGACCACCAUGUUAUUCUUGUGAAAGGAA
rfam:Oryctes borbonicus contig12919, whole genome shotgun sequence.